UCCGUUUCACCCGGUUUUAGGAUGUAAUAGUUGUAACACUAUAAUCCAGGCUUUGCAUAUGUUUGUUUCCCUAACUAGAUUGUAAGCUUUGAAGUGUCAGGGACAGCUCUAGUCCCCAGAGUGCCUGGCCCUAGUACUGCCACAAAGUAGAUGCUUAGUAAGUCCUCACUGAUCUAGUAGAAACCUGUAUUCUCUGGGUGCUCACCUGUUUCUUUCUUUUUAAAAAAAAUUGUUUUCAUCUACUCAGUUUGUUUCAGAAAGUGAGGACGAGGCAGAUCCUGAGUACUAAUAUCCUCCCCAUGUAAGGGUCAAUUCCAACUUUCAGCAUUGCCUUCAGCAGUAGUUCAUUUAUUCAUUUGUUCUCGUAUUUAGUCAGUCAUUCAACAAGAGGGGAAUAGCGAAGUAUCCACCUUAAGCCAAGGAGUCAGCAUGGGCUUUGGAUCUUGCUUAUAAUCUUAGAUCUGUCAUUUACUGGCCAUGCUGGUUUGGAAAAGUUACCUAAUCUCUCUCCUCUUUAAUUUCCACAUCCAUAAAAUGAAGGCAAUGACAUCUACUUAAUAACAACGUUUACCGAGUGCUCACAAUGUGCCAGGCGCUAUCAUCUCAUUCCCGUUUUACAGAUGCGGAAAUUGACACAUGGGGACAGUAAGGAUGCAUAGGUAGGACAUGUAGAACCAGGACCUGGUCAUAGGCAACCCAGUCCCUUAUUCUCAGUGCUGUGAUUUAAUAAUUCGCAUUUUCAGUGUCUGCUGUGUGCCAGUCAUGCUACAUAGGAUCCUUACACAUAGUUUUGUGUUGAUCACUGCCAGCCACACCUGUGGCUGAGAAUAAGGGCUCUGGGACUGGAUUCUCCUAACCAGGCCACAUUUAGUCAGCCAGGGAACCUGAAAACACGAGGAUUUUUAACAUUUGCCAAGUGGAGGAAUUACUGCACCGCAGGUUUCAGCCACAAGAGGGCAGCAGGUCCUUCUUUCCACGUGGCCCCGGAAAGACCAGCAGGCUCUCUCCUCAGGCGUCCCCUGGAUCCCUGGAGUUUCCCUGUUGUAAAUCACAAACGCACUUCUUUGGCAAAGGGCAGCCAGCCAGGUUGGGGUGAGACCGGGGAGCAGUUCUGCAAAUUAAGUCUAGUAUCGGAAAGAUAAAAGACCAGGACUAAAACGAAAUUGGAUUCUAAGAAAGUAAAUAUUUUAUGAAAAACUGAAAAUAUAUCCCUGUCCUAGUUUAAGUUGCCUCCGGGCAAGCUGUAAGAUGAUUUUAAAAACUCAUUUGUAAGGCUCCUGUGUUAGACCAGCAUUUCCUGGAGUUCUUGCAAAGUUUCAGUUCAUUUUGCUCCUGUUUAAGAAGCCCUUACUCAGGAGAGACCUGGUUGUGGAAGUUUCCAGAAAGCCCAGCCAAGCCAUACACUAAUUUUUUUUUCUUUUUUCUGGAGAGGAUGAAAUAACCAGAACUGUCAUGUGUCUACUGAAUGAAGAGCAUCAGCCUGGGCACCUUCCGGCAGGCGGGUUGCAGGGUGACUGACCAGGGUCACUGAACAAAAGAGAAUCAUUUCUGGAGGGAGCCCGGGUACCAGGAGCUCAAUGCGGACGCCUGGUUGCUAACAGUCAGUGUUUGCGCACUGGGGGCCGCACAUCAUUCUCGCUGGACGCCAGUUGCCUAGAAUCUAUUUUAAUUACACAUCACAGUAAAUAGAUCCUGCAAGAGCUGCCAACACCCACUGGUGCUCGUGCUUGUCUCUGGAUCCGUCUCCUCUCUGCCUCCUUGUCCCCAAGGCUCUUGGUACGGACGUGGGGAGAGCCAGCUAUAGACGGAGGACUAGGAAGCGAAGGAAGACAGCUGCAGCUCCUGGCAACCACCAUUCUACUUUGGGUAUGAAUUUGACUACUCUAGGAAUCUCAUAUAAGAAUAAUCAUACAUUUGUCCUCCGGUGACUGGCUGAUUUCACUUAACAUAAUGUCUCUUCAAGGUUCAUCUAUGUUGUAGCAUUGCCUCACUGUUGUUUAAUUAAACUAUUUUCAUAAGUGUG